ACAAACAACAAACGCUACAUGAUUUUGUCCUCGUGGUGUGGAGGAAAAUGCAGGAAAAUAAACCCAGCAAGGCAGAACUAACAAGUCAGGGGGCUGCCCCGUGCCAAAGCAGCCCCGAUACAAGAAAGUCACCGCGCACCAACAUGCAAAGAGCAGCUUACCUGCAGGACCAGGGCUGCCAACUUGAAGACCGUCUCGCUUUCGACUUCGAUCUGCCCCUGUGCAGGGAAAGAGCAGAAGGCAGGUACCUGAUCCCGCGCGCUUCGAAACACAACUACAAACUUGCCAUGAACCAGGGAAAGGAGGGUGAACCAGAGGAAUUUAUGGCUUUAAGCAUGCCAUUUCCCUGGGGCAGAGACCUCAGCUCUUCGCUUUGAUGGUGCCUGGAGAUCUGACAGUUCCUGCAAGUACACAUGCAAUGCUCAAAGAGACUCCAUGGACUUCUACCCUCCAAAUCUCCAUUCUUGACCCCCCUCCAAUAUCAGGCUGAGUCCUGUCCUGAAAGUCAGUGACUUCAAAGCUGCAGUUGACAAUAAAUGCUAAAAAUCAA